rnacentral:tRNA from 1 species
GGGUGUAGCUCAGAGGUAGAGCACAUGCUUAGCGUGCAUGAGGUCCUGGGCUCAAGCCCCAGUACAUCCG